rnacentral:RNase_P_RNA from 1 species
CGAGUUGGCCGGGCGGCCGCGGCACACGGUGGGCAACCGUCGAUGGGUCGAGGAAAGUCCGGACUUCACAGAGCAGGGUGAUUGCUAACGGCAAUCCGAGGUGACUCGCGGGACAGUGCCACAGAAAACAGACCGCCACCCGCAAGGGUGGUAAGGGUGAAACGGUGCGGUAAGAGCGCACCAGCAUCCCGGGUGACCGGGGUGGCUUGGUAAACCCCACCCGAAGCAAGGCCAAGAGGCUGCAUUCCGGUGCGGCUGCGCAGGCGCUCGAGGGCUGCUCGCCCGAGCCUGUGGGUAGGCCGCUCGAGGCACCCGGUGACGGUGUGCCCAGAUGGAUGGUCGUCGCCGCGCCGCCGUAAUACGGUGACGCGGAACAGAAUCCGGCUUACAGGCCAGCUCGUCCG